rnacentral:rRNA from 1 species
UACAGAGGUGGCAAGCGUUGUUCGGAAUUACUGGGCGUAAAGGGCGCGUAGGCGGCCUUCUAAGUCAGACGUGAAAUCCCCCGGCUUAACCUGGGAACUGCGUCUGAUACUGGAGGGCUUGAGUGCGGGAGAGGGAUGUGGAAUUCCAGGUGUAGCGGUGAAAUGCGUAGAUAUCAGGAGGAACACCGGUGGUGUAAACGGCUUUCUGGACCAUAACUGACGCUGAGGCACGAAAGCGUGGGUAGCAAACAGG